UAAUGGCUCACCAAGGCGACGAUCCCUAGCUGGUCUGAGAGGAUGAUCAGCCACACUGGAACUGAGACACGGUCCAGACUCCUACGGGAGGCAGCAGUGGGGAAUAUUGCACAAUGGGCGCAAGCCUGAUGCAGCCAUGCCGCGUGUGUGAAGAAGGCCUUCGGGUUGUAAAGCACUUUCAGUCGUGAGGAAGGUGGUAGUGUUAAUAGCACUAUCAUUUGACGUUAGCGACAGAAGAAGCACCGGCUAACUCCGUGCCAGCAGCCGCGGUAAUACGGAGGGUGCGAGCGUUAAUCGGAAUUACUGGGCGUAAAGCGCAUUGAGGUGGUUUGUUAAGUCAGAUGUGAAAGCCCGGGGCUCAACCUCGGAAUAGCAUUUGAAACUGGCAGACUAGAGUACUGUAGAGGGGGGUAGAAUUUCAGGUGU
rnacentral:rRNA from 1 species